AACGAACGCUGGCGGCGUGCUUAACACAUGCAAGUGGAGCGACGAACCGGGGCUUGCCCCGGGGCAGAGCCGCGAACGGGUGAGUAACACGUGGGUUACCUACCCCAAUGACCGGGACAACCCGAGGAAACUCGGGCUAAUACCGGAUGUGGUCUUCGGACGAAAGGAAGCUUCGGCCUCCGCAUUGGGAUGGGCCCGCGGCGCAUUAGCUUGUUGGUGGGGUAACGGCCUACCAAGGCGACGAUGCGUAGCUGGUCNGAGAGGACGAUCAGCCACACUGGGAC
rnacentral:rRNA from 1 species